rnacentral:lncRNA from 1 species
CCCCGCGCUCCGCCAGCAGGGAGCGCACACGCAGGUGCAAGGAGCUGGCACCUGGGCACACACCUGGCCACACACCUGUGCAGAGCCGGUGGCAGGCCCUCCCGGCGCAGGAAUGGCGUGCCCCCAGCUGCCGCCACUUCUGCUUUUGGUGCUGGUGGUGCUGCUGAAAGCUGGUGUGAAUUACAAUACUCCCUUUACAGUUCCGAAUCCCUGACCCCGCACUGGAGCCCCACUUCCCACAGCCCCGGAACGGAGCCCUUGACCUCCACUGACCAGACCUUGGAGCCCCCUGGCCCAGCUCCAGGUGACACUGGGCCCCGUGAGUUACACAGGAACCCGAGUGUGGUGGUGGUCGUGUGUUUGCUGGUGUCUCUUUUGCUCAUCGGGUCUGUGGUCAUGGCUGUGAGAUUCUGUCACCGGAAUGAGUCCAAGUUUGAGAACCUGGACGAGGUGUCCAUGGGAUCCGUGAAUGACAGAUUGUCCUUUGCCCACCACCUCCAGGAGUGAGCCCUGAGGAGCCAACAGAGAUGGGGGCAUGGAUGGGGCUGGGGUUCCUGGGGAGGAGCAGAACCUGAGGAAAUAAAGCCCCUACCAUUCAUCCAAGGCCUCGUGUGAAAACACGAGUUAUGGACUCGUGUGAAAACAUUAACUGAGCACCUACUAUGUGCUGGGCUCUGUGCUGGGGUC